GUCAGUCGUGCACACCGUCCUCUGCAAGAGAAGGCAGAGGUUGUUGUCUUUAAGUGAAACCUCCCAGUUUUAAAAACAUCAGGAGGGUUCAACAAAGCAUGUAUGAGUUAGUAGCUAAAAGCAGCUGUUUUUCAACUUCUGACCUGUUGCUUAUGUCUCCACACUUUUCCUGAGCCACGCUGUAGUUCUUAAGCUCAUUCUCUGACUCCUUCUACCACUGAGAUCCACAUCAGGCCCUGCUCAAAGGCGGCCUCCUGUUCUUUCCUCUGCAAAAUGCCUGAGGUGCAGCCUGCUCUGCUUCUGGCCUGUGUCCUGUCAACACUUCCUCAACAGUCGUGUGCUUAUCCGCCCGUGGCCUUCCUCCCCCAGACGGCUCAGCCUGGGGUCCGGCGUUAUUUGUCUCCUUGGCACCGUGAGGCUGGCUCUGCGCCGCGCACAUCAGAACCCGCUCGGGUCCGCACAGCACUGGGGCCCCCUGUGAGCUGGUGCUGGUGCCGAUGCAGCAGAGAGCAGGGCAAAGUCCGCGAACUCAUGAAGCUCCCGUUCAAGCAAUGGAGAGAGAAAGGUCAAGAAAGAAGCAAAUUAAAAGAGAUGUGAAUGCUACAGUACUGCACAAUCUGAGGCUGACUGAAUCCACGGAUGCCGAACCAGGGAUACAGAGGAACCAGAGAUGAAGAGAGCCAAUUACAAAUUACACGUGGAUUUCUUGCUGUUCAGAGAGUCACUGCUCCUAACCCCUAUGUUGUUCAAGAGUCAAAUAUAUAUGUGUGUGUGUGUGUGUGUUCAGUUCAGUUGCUCAGUUGUGUCCAACUCUUUGCAACUACAUGGGUUGCAGCAAGCCAGGCUUCCCUGUCCAUCACCAACUCCUGGAGCUUACUCAAACUCAUGUCCAUCGAGUCGGUGAUGCCAUCCACCCACCUCAUCCUCUGUUGACAUCCUCUCCUCUUGCCUUCAGUCUGUGUGUGUGUGUGUGUGUGUCUGUGUGUGUGUGUGUCUGUGUGUGUGUGUUUGUGUGUGUGUGUGUCUGUGUGUGUGUGUGUCUGUGUGUGUGUCUGUGUGUGUGUGUGUCUGUGUGUGUGUGUGUCUGUGUGUGUGUUUGUGUGUGUGUGUGUCUGUGUGUGUGUGUCUGUGUGUGUGUGUCUGUGUGUGUGUGUGUCUGUGUGUGUGUGUGUCUGUGUGUGUGUGUGUGUGUGUCUGUGUGUGUGUGUGUGUGUGUGUGUGUUCAUAUAUUUUCCCCCAGUUCUCUUUUAGCUAUGCGUCCUUGAAUCAAUCUGCUCUAUUCCCUCCUAAAGGGGCCUUUCUGAAAAGAUGGUCAUAAUCAUAUCAAGCACACGUUUAUAUCUCAUUAUGCAAGAGCUACAGAGAUUUAACUCCCAAAUUCCAGUUCCUAACAUUCUGGAUAAAGACAGAUUAGCCUGGCCUGCAUUACUUCUCUAAAAAUAUGAAGUCCUACAGGUGCGUAGACCUAGGCCACUGAUCCACCUCCGUGGGCUUCACCAAGACAGCAUGGAGUGAGGAAGGAGUCUGCAUAAAGAGAGGGUGUGUGCAUGUCUGACUCUUCGAGACCCGCCAGGCUCCUCUGCCCGUGGGAUUCUCCAGGCAGGAAUACUGGGGUGGGUUGCCGUGCCCUCCUUCAGGGGAUCUUCCAGCUCAGGGAUGGAACCUAUGUCUCUUAUGUCUCCUGAACUGGCAGGCAGGUUCUUGACCACUGGUGCCACCUGGGAAGCCCGAAGAAAGGAGAGAACUGGCAGAAACAAGAGAUGGGGAGAAUAAGGUGCUUUUCUACAUGACCCCGUUAAGAAAACCUGAUUCAUGGCUAAGCCUGAGAAAACAGACAGGAACAGGAAGUUAGCGCUCACACGAACUAAGCGGCCCUUAUUUCUGCCCCUUUUAAAUCCAUGGUGCGUGUGUGCGUGGUAGCUCAGCCGUGUCUGACUCUGGCGACCCCGUGGACUGUAGCCCACCAGGCUCCUCUGUCCAUGGGGAUUCUCCAGCGAAGAAUACUGGAGUGGGGUGCCAUGCCCUCCUCCAGGGGAUCUUCCCACUCCAGGGAUUGACCCCAGGUCUCCUCCAUUUCAGGCGAAUUCUUUUCUAUCUGAGUCACCAGGGAAGCCCAAAUUUGUGGUGAAAGUGAAGUCGCUCAGUCGUGUCCGACUCUUUGCGACCUCAUGGACUGUAGCUACCAGGCUCCUCUGUCCAUGGGAUUUUCCAGGCAAUAGUACUGGAGUGGAUUGCCAUUUCUUUCUCCAGGGAAUCUUCCCAACCGAAGGAUUGAACCCAGGUCUCCCGCACUGUAGACGGACGCUUUACCGUCUGAGCCACCAGUUGGGAUGUAUGAACUGAAGACUUAUGUAUAAUAAUGACAUUGUUUUACAGAUGAGCGAGAUGCAGCCAACAGCGGGGAAGAGUCGGUGGCGCUGUCUUCAGUGCUCACAGAAAGACGCCCAGAGAGAAGGGCAGGCUCGUCCAAUGCCCAUUAAGGAGGGAGUUCUCAGGGAUUUAUGAACGCAUUCAUUCAUUCGUUAGACGCGCAGGACAAUGUGUUAACGAUGGGUACAGGGCUUAACUCACUACUCUUAGUGCCUGAGUCAUUCACACACUUGAGAACUUUAACCAGUACGAACAACAUAUUUAUACUGAGAGUGGCAGGAAACAAUCGAGUGAACUUUAUAAAUCCACGCUUUGGAGAGAGUACAGAGAUGCCAAAAGCUGUGGGCGACAGCUUCUGCCAUGAAGCAUUUUCACGCUAUUU
ensembl:lncRNA